rnacentral:rRNA from 2 species
AGCGGUGGAGCAUGUGGUUUAAUUCGAAGCUACGCGAAGAACCUUACCAGGUCUUGACAUACUAUGCAAAUCUAAGAGAUUAGACGUUCCCUUCGGGGACAUGGAUACAGGUGGUGCAUGGUUGUCGUCAGCUCGUGUCGUGAGAUGUUGGGUUAAGUCCCGCAACGAGCGCAACCCUUAUUAUCAGUUGCCAGCAUUAAGUUGGGCACUCUGGUGAGACUGCCGGUGACAAACCGGAGGAAGGUGGGGAUGACGUCAAAUCAUCAUGCCCCUUAUGACCUGGGCUACACACGUGCUACAAUGGAUGGUACAACGAGUUGCGAACUCGCGAGAGUAAGCUAAUCUCUUAAAGCCAUUCUCAGUUCGGAUUGUAGGCUGCAACUCGCCUACAUGAAGUCGGAAUCGCUAGUAAUCGCGGAUCAGCAUUCCGCGGUGAAUACGUUCCCGGGCCUUGUACACACCGCCCGUCGCACCAUGAGAGUUUGUAACACCCAAAGUCGGUGGGGUA